UACGUAGGGGGCAAGCGUUAUCCGGAUUUACUGGGUGUAAAGGGCGCGUAGACGGCUCUGCAAGUCUGGAGUGAAAGCCCGGGGCUCAACCCCGGGACUGCUUUGGAAACUGUGGAGCUAGAGUGCAGGAGAGGUAAGUGGAAUUCCUAGUGUAGCGGUGAAAUGCGUAGAUAUUAGGAGGAACACCAGUGGCGAAGGCGGCUUACUGGACUGUAACUGACGUUGAGGCUCGAAAGCGUGGGGAGCAAACAGG
rnacentral:rRNA from 1 species